GUGCUCACUCCAGCAGCACAUAUACUAAAAUUGGAAGGAUGCAGAGAAUAGCAUGGCCUCUGCUCAAGGAUGACAUGCAAAUUCAUGAAGUGUUCCAUAUUUUU